rnacentral:rRNA from 1 species
CUGGGCUCGAAGCGCAGUGGAAUCCGGUAGAAAUAUCGGCGCCCGCAAGGGCCGCUGCGUAGGUGCUGCAUGGCUGUCGUCAGCUCGUGUCGUGAGAUGUUGGGUUAAGUCCCGCAACGAGCGCAACCCUUAUUGCCAGUUGCUAACGUUAAGUCGAGCACUCUGGCGAAACUGCCCCGGAUAACCUGGAGGAAGGCGGGGAUGACGUCAAAUCAUCAUGCCCCUUAUGAUCUGGGCUACACACGUGCUACAAUGGCCACUACAGAGAGAAGCGAGCCCGUAAGGGGGAGCGGAUCUGAGAAAAGUGGUCCCAGUUCAGAUUGUGGGCUGCAACCCGCCCACAUGAAGUCGGAGUUGCUAGUAAUCGCGGAUCAGCAUGCCGCGGUGAAUA